rnacentral:rRNA from 1 species
UGACGCUCAUGCACGAAAGCAUGGGGAGCAAACAGGAUUAGAUACCCUGGUAGUCCACGCCCUAAACGAUGUCAACUAGCUGUUGGGGCCUUCGGGCCUUGGUAGCGCAGCUAACGCGUGAAGUUGACCGCCUGGGGAGUACGGUCGCAAGAUUAAAACUCAAAGGAAUUGACGGGGACCCGCACAAGCGGUGGAUGAUGUGGAUUAAUUCGAUGCAACGCGAAAAACCUUACCUACCCUUGACAUGUCUGGAAUGCCGAAGAGAUUUGGCAGUGCUCGCAAGAGAACCGGAACACAGGUGCUGCAUGGCUGUCGUCAGCUCGUGUCGUGAGAUGUUGGGUUAAGUCCCGCAACGAGCGCAACCCUUGUCAUUAGUUGCUACGAAAGGGCACUCUAAUGAGACUGCCGGUGACAAACCGGAGGAAGGUGGGGAUGACGUCAAGUCCUCAUGGCCCUUAUGGGUAGGGCUUCACACGUCAUACAAUGGUCGGGACAGAGGGUCGCCAACCCGCGAGGGGGAGCCAAUCCCAGAAACCCGAUCGUAGUCCGGAUCGCAGUCUGCAACUCGACUGCGUGAAGUCGGAAUCGCUAGUAAUCGCGGAUCAGCAUGUCGCGGUGAAUACGUUCCCGGGCCUUGUACACACCGCCC